AACGCACAUUGCGCCCGCCGGCAUUCCGGCGGGCAUGCCUGUCCGAGCGUCAUUUCAACCCUCAGGCACCGCCUGGUGUUGGGCCGCCACCGCCCGGUGGGCCCCGAAACUCAGCGGCGAGCGUCCACUGGACCCGAGCGUAGUAGCACAUCUCGCUUAGGGAGCCAGGGGCGGCCUCUGCCGUAAAACCCCCAUAUUUUACAAGGUUGACCUCGGAUCAGGUAGGAAUACCCGCUGAACUUAA
rnacentral:misc_RNA from 1 species